AUGGCGCCGCCGCGGAUGAACCUGGUCGACGACGACGUCCUCGCGGAGAUCCUCCUCCGCCUCCCGCCGGACGAGCCCGAGCACCUCUUCCGCGCCGCCCUCGUCUGCAAGCCCUCGCUCCGCGUCAUCUGCCUCCCCGCCUUCCGCACCCAGUACCGCGCCUUCCACGGAGCCCCUCCGCUGCUCGGCCUCCUCUACCGGAACCAGGUCUGCGACGGGGAUCCGGCCCCGCGCUUCGCCUCCACCACCUCGAUGCCCGACUUCCCCCACCCGGCCUCCGACCGCUGCCCCGCGCGCCCCCUCGACUGCCGCCACGGCCGCGUCCUCCUCCACAUGUCCCACGAUUCGGAUGUGGAUCUCCUCGUCUGGGACCCCGUCACCGGAGACCGCCGCGUCGUGCCCGAGCCGGACAUCGACUGGAUGGUCUACACCGCCGCCGUGCUCUGCGCCACCGCCGGCUGCGACCACCUCGACUGCCACGGCGGCCCCUUCCGCGUGGUCUUCCUGGCCACCGAUGACCGCGAGGAGGUCGUCCAGGCAACCGUGUACUCGUCGGCGACAGCUGCGUGGAGUCCGCCGGUGUCUCUUGACGAUAGCUGUGAAUGCUAUGCCCGGCACAAGCGAGACGCAACUGCAGAAAUGAUGUUCUUCUCCUCCUACAUACCCUAUGUCCAGCCCAGGUGA
rnacentral:rRNA from 1 species